rnacentral:rRNA from 1 species
GUAGGUGGCAAGCGUUGUCCGGAUUUACUGGGCGUAAAGGGCGUGCAGGCGGUUUGUUAAGUGCAGGGUGAAAGCUCCCGGCUCAACUGGGAGAGGUCCUUGCAUACUGGCAAACUCGAGGGAGGCAGAGGAAAGUGGAAUUCCCGGUGUAGUGGUGAUAUGCGUAGAUAUCGGGAGGAACACCUGUGGCGAAGGCGGCUUUCUGGGCCUUACCUGACGCUGAGACGCGAAAGCGUGGGGAGCGAACCGGAUUAGAUACCCGGGUAGUCCACGCCGUAAACUAUGGACACUAGGUGUGGGGGGUAUCGACCCCCUCCGUGCCGAAGCUAACGCAAUAAGUGUCCCGCCUGGGGAGUACGGCCGCAAGGCUA